rnacentral:lncRNA from 1 species
CCAACGUCCGUUAAAAAUAAAAAAAACAUUCAGCGUUUCAGAAAUAUUUUGAGUGUUCGAACUUUUCUGGAUAUUUACAGGUUUUGCUGUGACGGAGAAUAAGAAAGUGAUAACAUUGGACCAAACUACGAAUCAUUUGUUUGUUUUUAAUAAAAGCGGCAAAUUAGAAUGUAGUAAUGUUUUUGAUCGUAAAACCAAGAAAUUCGAAUUGUUAUUAUAUGGUUUCCUAUUCCAACGAAGUUGCCUUAUCCGAUUCUGGUGCUAGUCAAGUCUACAAAACUACAUUAGAUGGUAAAUUAAAAUCUUCGGUAGCUACGGAAGAGCUCCAAGGCAAAUGGAUCGACCGUCUGUUAUCGCUUUAGUUCCAAAAGGUGCUGUGUUUAUAGCAGAGAUCGGAAAUGAGCGCAUUCAGGUUUUUGAUUGGAAAGUACUGUAGAUUUCUUAGGCAGAGCCACAUUUUCUCUUCAGAUUCGACCAUUGGACGUAGCAUUAACUAAAGACGGGCGCUUAUAUGUUUUCGAUGCUUUUCAACGCCGUUUAGAUGUUUAUCAUCUCGAAACGGAUAAAUAAGUUUUAAUUUUAUAAUUUCAGAUAUGCAUCAU